rnacentral:lncRNA from 1 species
AUGUUCUAUAGAAGUUGUAUUUUGUAUACAUGUAAUCUAUGGAUAUCUCUGUUGGCAGGCCCUGGAGAGCAAUCCAAGCAGGCAGGAACCAGAAGAGGCACAAUCCUUGAAGGAUAUGGAAGAAUUAAGCUAUUGAGCCCAACAAACAUCUUGCAACCCAAACUCCAUCACACAUCAGCUUCCAGAAAACUCAACCCAUGCCAGGAGGGGAGGACUGUGACCCUGCCAAGAGGGAGAGCAAGGGAACUUUGCAGAGAACAGGUGCUCACAUUUCGGUGGCAGAGAAUUAAGGAGUCCACAGGCAUCCACGGGGCAGGAGAACAAGCGGAAUUCUGGAGCCUCAGGAAGACAAGACAGGCGUUGGCAACCAGAUGGGGCAAUGAGCCCGAUAUGACGCCACUAGGUGCCCCUAACCCGCUCCCUGGGGCAGGAUGUCAGGUCCGGUGUGGGCAGCUGAAGCCAGUAGGUGAGAGGGCAGCUUUCAGAUUCUGA